UACGGAGGGGGCGAGCGUUGUCCGAAUUUACUGGGCGUAAAGGGCGCGUAGGCGGGAAGCUAAGUCCGCUGUCAAAGCCCGGGGCUCAACCCCGGAAGGUCGGUGGAGACUGGUUUUCUUGAAGCUGCCAGGGGGAGAUGGAAUUACCGGUGUAGCGGUGAAAUGCGUAGAUAUCGGUAGGAACACCAGUGGCGAAGGCGGUCUCUGGGCAGUAACUGACGCUGAGGAGCGAAAGCGUGGGGAGCGAACAGG
rnacentral:rRNA from 1 species